CAACAAACCACACUUGCAAAGUAUUUACUUUAAAUUCAUGAAUUCAGGUGAUAAAAUAUCAUGAUAAUUUUUUAGUCACAAAAAUUCUUUAUUUUUUUUACCUACUUUUUGUUUAUAGUUAAUACUUACAUAGUUUCAGCUCCCCACUCCCACAAACAUUUUCUUUUUUUGCUUUGCUUUGUCAAUUUUAUAAGUAGUGUUCUAUUACAUUAAUACAUCACAAUUUUUUUAGUGAUUCCCUUGUUGGGCAUUUAGGUUGUUUCCAGGACUGGUGUGUCAGUGUGUGUGUAUGUGUGUGUUUAUUCAUAAGAUGUUUUGAAAUUAUUUGGUCACACAGAUCUUUUUUGGAUUUGAUGACACUUAAAGGGUACAUUCUUGAUAAAGGAAUUUUUAAGACAAGACUAAAAUGAGUUUUGGGGUAACUUUAAAAGUUUACUAUCACAUCUCUAAAACGUUUCAACAAGUUUGUAACUCCACUAAUACUGAAUGAGUAUGAUACCAAAUUGUGUUUCUGUUAAUAAUCAAAUUGAAGAAUACCUUAAUUCUAAUUCUGACUCUAAAUCUACUUGUAUAUAUGUUUGUAUGGAAAAUGUCAUCUGCAUCCAGAAAGAACUAUGGAGACUGAAUGCAGAUCAACACACGAGGCAUUUAUUUAUUUAUUUAUCAGGUGACUUGAUUUUUUUCCCCCACAAACUUUUUAUUUUUAAUUUUUUUUACAGAUUAUACAGGUACAUUCUUUUUUUUUUAAUAUUUCCAUAUGAGGCAUGUUGAUAGAAUUAUCAGAACAAAAGGGGAAAACCACAAGGAAGAAAAAAAACAGAAGAAAAAUAAAAAGCAAAAUACCUUUCAUUCUGAUUUUUCUCUCCCAACAUGACUCAUUUGGAAAUAUGUAACAAAUGAAUGUACAUGUAGAACUGUAAAAAAAAAAAAAAUUAAAUUAAAAAAUAAAUGAUCAUCGACUAAUGACAUCUUUCCAUAAAUGUCAUAGGCAGUCCCUCCAAAUAUGUUCACAACCUUCUGGAAUUCUUGAUAUUCUAUAUGAAGCAUGUUAUGAGUUUCCAUUAUAGAGACUUAAAGGAAUUUUGAAAAAGAAAGAACAACUAUUGAUGCAAAAAAAAAUAUAGAGAGACUUUAAUUAGGGAUACAUUAAUUCACAAGGGAGGGCUUGUAGUUUAACACGAUACAAGUGGGGAAAUAAAGAAACACAGGGCAGAAAGAUCUUCCUGUCUAUAGCAGACAAUCUGUCAUAAGAAGGAGAAGAAGUUUGUCUGGAUAAACACAGCUCAGGUGAACCAUUUCAACGCUUUUCAACAAUAUUGUUUCAAACAAUAAUGACUUAUUAUUCUGGAGAUCUAAAUAAAAGUAACUGUGCUAACCUAAACUUUAAAAGCUAGACAGUUUAGGAAAAUGGAAACCUGCCACUCUGUUUGCAUUCCAUUCCUCAAAAUUAUUAUCACUUCAGACUUGCCAUUGAUCCUGCUAUAAUCCUAUGUAAGCAAAGGAGAGUUGAUUGGUAAUUCUCUCAAAUAAACAAAACCAAAAACAAACCAUUAAAAAACCAAAAACCAUCAGGAAGAUUCUGAAACACACAGUUAAUUCUCAAGAUUAUUCCAGUUGCAAGUGGUCAUCUACAUUGGGAAAAGGAACAUCUUCUUGGGGAACUCAUUAUACCAACGAAACAAGAGGUCCAGUUUAAAAAAAAAAAAAAGGAAGGGCUGAAGAGGUCCAAUAAUUGAUUUCCAAUUAGAAGGGUUAUUUCAUAUUCCAGAUAUUUUCCAUCAAAACUAAAGAUAGGAGCAAAUAGAAUGAGAGUACAGCAAGAAGGAUUUAGGUUAGUUAGAGAUGAAGACUUUCAUGAAUAAGAAGCAGGAGACAAUGCAACAGGAAACUCAGAGGUCUCUCGGAAGGAGAGGCUCCCAGGCUGAACAGAGGCAAAGAGGUUCGUCAUCAAGACUUCUAGAGGCUCCCAAUGCUGAAAUAUGUGACACCUAAAAGAAUAAGCAGGUCCCUAUUUUUAAGAACUUCAGCAAUACCUCUCUGGGGUUUGGGGUUUGUAGUCAAGCAAUAUGGUCUUUAAAAGCAAUAUUUUCUUUUUACAAAUUGGGAAUAGUGGUGAAGCAAGAAGUACAGUCAAAGG
ensembl:lncRNA